rnacentral:lncRNA from 1 species
AAAGAUCCCAUUCCUACAACAUUUACAAGAUCUCCAAUUGGCAUUUGAACCUUGCUUGGAAUGUUGGUUCUCACAUCAACAAGCAAUUCCACAUUCCCUAUCAUAUGGUUGCUACAACCACUGUCAAUGUACCAUUCUCCAUUUACUUUAGUCUCAGUAGUUGCAUUGUUGGCAUAAAACAGAUUCCCAAUCACUUCCACU